rnacentral:rRNA from 1 species
UACGAGGGGGGCAAGCGUUGUUCGGAAUUAUUGGGCGUAAAGGGUGCGUAGGCGGUCUGAUAAGUCAUCUGUGAAAUCUAUGGGCUCAACCCAUAGUCUGCAGGCGAAACUGGGAGGCUAGAGUAUCGGAGAGGUUGGUGGAAUUCCCGGUGUAGAGGUGAAAUUCGUAGAUAUCGAGAGGAACACCGGUGGCGAAGGCGGCCAACUGGACGAAUACUGACGCUGAGACUCGAAAGCGUGGGGAGCAAACAGG